AUGAAUGUAAAUUGAAGAGAAUGUCUGAAACCGAUUCUAUUUAAAUCGCUAAUUUACAAUAAAGAUCUACGUAACUGCAUGAUUGAAAAACGUAUUUUUUCUCAUCCUAGCUGUAUCAACUUUCGACUUGAAACAAAAUUGUGAUAAGUUAGCGAAAAUUGGUUGUCCCGAGACUUAUCGAAUUCAUACAAAUUCAGACCCGGUCUGCCAUUCUGCCGAAGUUUUCGACGAGUGUUAUCUUCCAGACAUGCAUCGUGAUUGUCAACAUUUGUUUAAAAAAAUGAAGAAAUGUCAAAAAAAACAAGUCUAACAAUGCCGAGAGGCCCAUGCAAACACUAUUCCUUACUGUACUUGUCGUUAAUGUACUAAUGCAAAUCUAAAUGAAGAUAAUGAUGCAAUAACGAUUUACUUGCAUUAUUUGUAAUUUUAUUGGUUCUACAAUUUAUGUAUUUGAGAGGUUCUGUAAGAAUAACUGGGAAGUAAACGCUAAAAUCUA